rnacentral:rRNA from 1 species
UACGAAGGGGGGCUAGCGUUGCUCGGAAUCACUGGGCGUAAAGGGUGCGUAGGCGGGUCUUUAAGUCAGGGGUGAAAUCCUGGAGCUCAACUCCAGAACUGCCUUUGAUACUGAGGAUCUUGAGUUCGGGAGAGGUGAGUGGAACUGCGAGUGUAGAGGUGAAAUUCGUAGAUAUUCGCAAGAACACCAGUGGCGAAAGGCGG